rnacentral:siRNA from 1 species
GGGGGUGUAGCUCAUAUGG